rnacentral:rRNA from 1 species
GCGUUCGGCAGCUACCAUGCAGUCGACGGUAACAGGAUUAGCUUGCUAAUCGCUGACGAGUGGCGGACGGGUGAGUAAUGCUUGGGAACUUGCCUUUGCGAGGGGGAUAACAGUUGGAAACGACUGCUAAUACCGCAUAAUGUCUACGGACCAAACGGGGCUUCGGCUCCGGCGCAAAGAGAGGCCCAAGUGAGAUUAGCUAGUUGGUAAGGUAAAGGCUUACCAAGGCAACGAUCUCUAGCUGUUCUGAGAGGAAGAUCAGCCACACUGGAACUGAGACACGGUCCAGACUCCUACGGGAGGCAGCAGUGGGGAAUAUUGCACAAUGGGGGAAACCCUGAUGCAGCCAUGCCGCGUGUGUGAAGAAGGCCUUCGGGUUGUAAAGCACUUUCAGUUGUGAGGAAAAGUUAGUAGUUAAUACCUGCUAGCCGUGACGUUAACAACAGAAGAAGCACCGGCUAACUCCGUGCCAGCAGCCGCGGUAAUACGGAGGGUGCGAGCGUUAAUCGGAAUUACUGGGCGUAAAGCGCACGCAGGCGGUUUGUUAAGCUAGAUGUGAAAGCCCCGGGCUCAACCUGGGAUGGUCAUUUAGAACUGGCAGACUAGAGUCUUGGAGAGGGGAGUGGAAUUCCAGGUGUAGCGGUGAAAUGCGUAGAUAUCUGGAGGAACAUCAGUGGCGAAGGCGACUCCCUGGCCAAAGACUGACGCUCAUGUGCGAAAGUGUGGGUAGCGAACAGGAUUAGAUACCCUGGUAGUCCACACCGUAAACGCUGUCUACUAGCUGUUUGUGGCUUUAAGCCGUGAGUAGCGAAGCUAACGCGAUAAGUAGACCGCCUGGGGAGUACGGCCGCAAGGUUAAAACUCAAAUGAAUUGACGGGGCCCGCACAAGCGGUGGAGCAUGUGGUUUAAUUCGAUGCAACGCGAAGAACCUUACCUACACUUGACAUGCAGAGAACUUUUCAGAGAUGGAUUGGUGCCUUCGGGAACUCUGACACAGUGCUGCAUGGCUGUCGUCAGCUCGUGUCGUGAGAUGUUGGGUUAAGUCCCGCAACGAGCGCAACCCUUGUCCUUAGUUGCAGCAUUCAGUUGGGCACUCUAAGGAGACUGCCGUU